rnacentral:lncRNA from 1 species
CAAAAUCGAUUGGGGGUUUCUCCCAUUUUUGGGGGCUAAGAGUCAAAGGAAGAAUUGGUUUGAUCGUAAGAUUAUGUAUUCGGAAGUCAUCCCAAGCAUCUUAGCCCUUUCCCAAAUGACCCCAGCAUCCUCGUCCUUACCUCGGAAGAUAGUAUUGUUACGACCAUUCCACCCAUUCUAAAGAAUCAUGAUCAAGUCUUCAAAAGCCUUUUUGUCCAAAACCCGCAUAGCAUCCUCUAACCAAUCAAUGCAUCUCUCGUAAUCAUUUUCGAGAAACUGACCAUCAAGCCCACCUAGGGCGAGAAUUGCAAGAGCUUUCGGACACUUUUUGAGAGCGGAAUGGCGAUCUCCUCCCCUCCACCACACCUUGGACAACCCCUCCCAACACUACGCUUAAUGGAAGAGAUUUUAACAUUUGUCGGGAGUAAAUUUUAAGAAGGAUCCGAAGUUUCCAUAUAAACCUCCAAAAAAGCUGAUUGAGACCAAACCUGAUCUUCUUAAGCAAGAGCCACGAAUAUGCCAAUUUCGUGGUGUAGCACCUAUGAUCAUUAUGGAACCAAAUAACUCUAUCCAUUCGACCAUUGGGAGUAAUGGGCAGCUCACGGACCCGAUCACUAUCCCAAGCAAUAUUAUUAGGAAUCCAUAAAUCGCGAACCACCCUCUCCUGGAUGUCAACACUAGAGACACACAAGGAGUUGCCAUCAAGUCCUUCAAAACCCCUUGUCCAACCCGAUUCUCACUCUUUUUCCAUCACCAACUUGCCAUCCAAAACCGACUUCGAGAGCUUUAGCCGCUGUUCAACCAUCUCAGGAUGAAACACAUCACCAUCCGGAAAAUACUUAGAACUAAGUGUUGGGAAAUGUGUCCAUGUUGUAGUAAACAUGUAACUAUUUUCUAUUUAUUUUAACGAUGAAUAAAUAAAUAAAGUUAAUUUCACAUUUCACUA